GCGUUUAUAGCUCAGUUGGUUAGAGCACCACCUUGACAUGGUGGGGGUCGUUGGUUCGAGUCCAAUUAAAUGCACCA
rnacentral:tRNA from 1 species